rnacentral:rRNA from 1 species
GACGAACCGUGCGAACGUUGUUCGGAAUCACUGGGCUUAAAGGGCGCGUAGGCGGGCUGUCAAGUCCGGGGUGAAAUCCUCCAGCUCAACUGGAGAACGGCCUCGGAUACUGAUGGUCUCGAGGAGGAUAGGGGCACACGGAACUGUGGGUGGAGCGGUGAAAUGCGUUGAUAUCCAUAGGAACUCCGGUGGCGAAAGCGGUGUGCUGGAUCCUUUCUGACGCUGAUGCGCGAAAGCCAGGGGAGCAAACGGG